UUAUUUUGAAACGCUGAACUUCCUGUCCGUCAUUUUGGCAGUAAAAAGUGUUGUUCUCGAUUGGAUACCCUUGCGCUCGCUUACAAAAACCGAAUUUAACAAAGAUUUUUCGGUGUUUCCGACUUCACUAGCAUACCACCAACGAAUAUUUAAUUUAAUAAACAUGGACCAAAUGGAAGACCCCGCUGGAUCGGAUAAUAAACGAGCUAUAGAGCGGAAAAGGAGUUGAAGAUGCCAAAGGAGGACUUAAGAGAGGACAAGCUUUCAACAUCAGCACCGUCCAUCACUUUGUUCCUCACCCAAUCCCCUAAACCUCAGGCACAGGCCCUGGUUUAGCCAGAGUCCUCACCCGAAUACUCCAUUUAAGUUCAG